GUCAAUUAUUAAAACAAAAGGACCAGUUCCAAAACCUUCUCCCUUCUCCAUCGGCUAUUCAAUUCUUCCUCAUUCUUUUUCAAGCAAAAACCCCCAAAUUGAAAUGGGAAUCCCUAGAUUCCUCACCACCACCACCUACCGUCGUCAUUGCCGACGUCCCCCCCUGGCGGCCGCCUUCAUCGCGCCUCCCGGCGGCGUGCCACUGUCUCCGACACUACCCCUCCUCUUUCCUUGCUCCCUCUUCCCUCUCUCUCCUUUCUCCCUCGGCCACACUCACGCCACCACCGCUGCUGUGAGCGCGGAAGCUCACCGUCGUGGCCCUUAUCGUCGCUGUUGCUAUCUCUCAGCCGUCGCCGGAUUAGUCUUCGCCUCCGGUCUCGGCUGCACGUGAUGCGCUACGGCCAGAGCCGCUGCUGUCACGGAGACCUCACCGUCUUCGUCGCUGGACUCCAGCCGCCGUCUCCGUCAAAACCCCAGUGCCGCCGUCCGCCGUUCAGCCCACCAGCGCUGGAUCUCGGCGGAUUCGAGCCGUCUUCAGCGUAGGAUAGAGGGCAUCACCUCCGGGACUUCCUGGACACGUGUACAGCGAGGUAGCAUUUGGCACCGUCGUCGUUCCUCAAUCGACUACUGAGCUUACCUUCUCGUCUCAAGCUAAGUUCCCUUUCUUAGUUCUUGUUAAUUGAACCCCCUUCCCCCUUUGAAGGCCAGUAGCAUUAGGGGUUUUCUACUUCAUUGUUGGGAGUGUUGUUGGAGACGAUGGGACUCGUUCAUUGCGUUUAGGCUAAAAAUUCAAACCUAGUAGCCUAUGUUCUCAUUUAUGGCAGUAGUUACAUUUAAGGUUCUAUGGGUAGCCCUUAGUUCCUGUGACUGUGAUUUUAGGUUCUUGUUAACAUGGAAUGUAAUAUGAUGCAAGGCAGUGUGUUGUUGUCGUGUUACUGCUACUUUCCUGGAGAUUCAAUACGUCGUUUGGGGUUCUAGAUUGUGAUAUCUCUAUAUAAAUGGGGAGAUCAAAAGGGCAAGGGUGUUACCUCUUGAAGGGAUUCUCGGCCUUUUGUGAUUACCGGGUAGUACUUGGACUUGCUACUUGCUCACUUACUUCUUGUGUUGCUGAGAUAUUUGAAGUAUGUGGGAGGAGAAUUUGAUGCAUAUGGAGGGGUUCCUUUAUAGAGGAGGGUGUGUACACGUGGGUUUUAAAUUGGGACUGCUAUACACUUUGUCUUCUUUCUGCAGUAUCUCCUUUAUUUUUUAUUUUUGCAACCACUUUAACUGAAUUUUGGUGGUGCUGUUGCAGGUGUACAACAAAGGUGGGGAGAUUGUUUGGAUGUGCUCUGCAGGCUGUUGCAGAGGCUGUUAUCUGGGUUCCAAUGCCGCUGAAUGGGCUGAUCUGUCCUGCGGCAGCCUUCGGUUAAAGCUGAGAAGCGCGCAGGAGUGGUAUGAUAUCCUCUUAACCAUCCUAUUUUUGGUUUGAGGGGGUUGAUCAUCUACAGCGAUCAUCUACGUCUCGGCCCAACCUCCGUCGGUAGUCGAGCCGACAGCUGGUGCUAAACAUGCCGAAGCUACCUCUCUUUUCCCCCUCGCAUUGUAAUAGAGUAGCUCCACUUGCAAACUUUCUUUCUUCAACAUGUAAUAGUUAGUCGGCGUGUAUUUCGUUUGUCUUUAUUUCCAUCGUCUAGCAUUUUGGAAAUUUAGACUUAGCUUGAGAUGUAUACCUCGUAUCUCAUUCACUUAAGAAAUAAACGGCCUCUUUUUUUUUGUAUCCAUGACUUAACUGGAAAUUCUAAAUAUUAUGUUUUUGAUUACUCAAUAAA